GGCUUUGUGAUGUAACGGUUAGCACACUCGGCUCAUAUUCGAGAGGUCCAGGUUCGAGUCCCGGCGAGGACA
rnacentral:tRNA from 1 species